rnacentral:rRNA from 1 species
CAGCCGCCACGGUAAUACAGAGGGUGCGAGCGUUAAUCGGAUUUACUGGGCGUAAAGCGUGCGUAGGCGGCUUUUUAAGUCGGAUGUGAAAUCCCUGAGCUUAACUUAGGAAUUGCAUUCGAUACUGGGAAGCUAGAGUAUGGGAGAGGAUGGUAGAAUUCCAGGUGUAGCGGUGAAAUGCGUAGAGAUCUGGAGGAAUACCGAUGGCGAAGGCAGCCAUCUGGCCUAAUACUGACGCUGAGGUACGAAAGCAUGGGGAGCAAACAGGAUUAGAUACCCGUGUAGUCCCUGUCUCUUAUAA